rnacentral:RNase_P_RNA from 1 species
UGAGCUGGCCGGGUGAUUGCGGCCACCGAACCCCACUCUGGGUGAAACCUGGUGGAGGCGGUGCGCCGAGGAAAGUCCGGACUCCACAGAGCACGGUGGUUGUUAACGGCAACCCGGGGUGACCCGCGGGCAAGUGCAACAGAAAGUAGACCGCCCUCCUUAAGGCCUUGAGCUGGGGGAGGGUAAGGGUGAAAGGGUGCGUUAAGAGCGCACCAGCAGGCCAGGUGACUGGUCUGGCUAGGUAAACCCCACCGGGAGCAAGGCAUUAAGCCGUACCCCCUUGAGGUACGGCGGAACGGAUGACCAAGGGCUGCUCGCCCGAGUCCGUAGGUAGCUGCUUGAGGCGGCCAGCGAUGGUCGGCCCAGAUGGAUGAUCACCGCCCCACAAGGUACAGAAUCCGGCUUAUAGGCCAGCUCAUUCG